rnacentral:rRNA from 1 species
UGCAGUCGUACGAGGGUUUUUAACUCAAGUGGCGGACGGGUGAGUAACACGUAAGAAUUGCCUUUAGGAGGGGGACAACAACCAGAAAUGAUUGCUAAUACCCCAUAUGCUUUCGAGUGAAAUGGAUUUUUCCGCCUAGAGAGAAGCUUGCGGCUGAUUAGCUUGUUGGUGAGGUAAUGGCUCACCAAGGCGACGAUCAGUAUCUGGUUUGAGAGGACGAUCAGACACACUGGAACUGAGACACGGUCCAGACUCCUACGGGAGGCAGCAGUGGGGAAUUUUCCGCAAUGGGCGAAAGCCUGACGGAGCAAUACCGCGUGAGGGAUGACGGCCUAUGGGUUGUAAACCUCUUUUUUCAGGGAGGAAUAAAUGACGUGUACCUGAAGAAUAAGCAUCGGCUAACUCCGUGCCAGCAGCCGCGGUAAGACGGAGGAUGCAAGUGUUAUCCGGAAUCACUGGGCGUAAAGCGUCUGUAGGUGGUCCAAUAAGUCAACUGUUAAAUCUUGAGGCUCAACCUCAAAAUCGCAGUCGAAACUAUUAGACUAGAGUAUAGUAGGGGUAAAGGGAAUUUCCAGUGGAGCGGUGAAAUGCGUAGAGAUUGGAAAGAACACCGAUGGCGAAGGCACUUUACUGGGCUAUUACUAACACUCAGAGACGAAAGCUAGGGUAGCAAAUGGGAUUAGAUACCCCAGUAGUCCUAGCCGUAAACAAUGGAUACUAGAUGUUGACCAGAUCGACCUGUGCAGUAUCAAAGCUAACGCGUUAAGUAUCCCGCCUGGGAAGUAUGCUCGCAAGAGUGAACUCAAAGGAAUUGACGGGGGCCCGCACAAGCGGUGGAGCAUGUGGUUUAAUUCGAUGCAACGCGAAGAACCUUACCAGGGUUUGACAUGAUACGAAUUUCUUUGAAAGAAGAAAGUGCCGUUUGGAACGUAUACACUGGUGCAUGGCUGUCGUCAGCUCGUGUCGUGAGAUGUUGGGUUAAGUCCCGCAACGAGCGCAACCCUCAUUUUUAGUUGCCU